GAUGAACGCUGGCGGCGUGCCUAAUACAUGCAAGUAGAACGCUGAAGGAGGAGCUUGCUCUUCUGGAUGAGUUGCGAACGGGUGAGUAACGCGUAGGUAACCUGCCUGGUAGCGGGGGAUAACUAUUGGAAACGAUAGCUAAUACCGCAUGACAACAGUUAUUGCAUGAUAACUGUUUAAAAGGGGCAACUGCUCCACUACCAGAUGGACCUGCGUUGUAUUAGCUAGUUGGUGAGGUAACGGCUCACCAAGGCGACGAUACAUAGGCGACCUGAGAGGGUGAUCGGCCACACUGGGACUGAGACACGGCCCAGACUCCUACGGGAGGCAGCAGUAGGGAAUCUUCGGCAAUGGACGGAAGUCUGACCGAGCAACGCCGCGUGAGUGAAGAAGGUUUUCGGAUCGUAAAGCUCUGUUGUAAGAGAAGAACGAGUGUGAGAGUGGAAAGUUCACACUGUGACGGUAUCUUACCAGAAAGGGACGGCUAACUACGUG
rnacentral:rRNA from 1 species